rnacentral:rRNA from 1 species
GACGGACGCUGGCGGCGUGCUUAACACAUGCAAGUCGAACGGAAAGGCCCUAGCUUGCUGGGGUACUCGAGUGGCGAACGGGUGAGUAACACGUGGGUGAUCUGCCCUGCACUCUGGGAUAAGCCUAGGAAACUGGGUCUAAUACCGGAUAGGACCGUGCUUUAGUGUGUGCGGUGGAGAGUUUUUCGGUGCAGGAUGAGCCCGCGGCCUAUCAGCUUGUUGGUGGGGUAAUGGCCUACCACGGCGGCGACGGGUAGCCGGCCUGAGGGGGUGUACGGCCACAUUGGGACUGAGAGACGGCCCAGACUCCUACGGGAGGCAGCAGUGGGGAAUAUUGCACAAUGGGCGCAAGCCUGAUGCAGCGACGCCGCGUGGGGGAUGACGGCCUUCGGGUUGUAAACCGCUUUCGGCAGGGACGAAGCUUUUGUGACGGUACCUGCAGAAGAAGCACCGGCUAACUACGUG